rnacentral:rRNA from 1 species
AGCCUACCAUGCAGCCGAGCGGUAUUGUUUCUUCGGAAAUGAGAGAGCGGCGUACGGGUGCGGAACACGUGUGCAACCUGCCUUUAUCUGGGGGAUAGCCUUUCGAAAGGAAGAUUAAUACUCCAUAAUAUAUUGAUUGGCAUCAAUUAAUAUUGAAAGCUCCGGCGGAUAGAGAUGGGCACGCGCAAGAUUAGCUAGUUGGUGAGGUAACGGCUCACCAAGGCGAUGAUCUUUAGGGGGCCUGAGAGGGUGAUCCCCCACACUGGUACUGAGACACGGACCAGACUCCUACGGGAGGCAGCAGUGAGGAAUAUUGGUCAAUGGGUGCAAGCCUGAACCAGCCAUCCCGCGUGAAGGACGACUGCCCUAUGGGUUGUAAACUUCUUUUGUAUAGGGAUAAACCUACCCUCGUGAGGGUAGCUGAAGGUACUAUACGAAUAAGCACCGGCUAACUCCGUGCCAGCAGCCGCGGUAAUACGGAGGGUGCAAGCGUUAUCCGGAUUUAUUGGGUUUAAAGGGUCCGUAGGCGGACUUAUAAGUCAGUGGUGAAAGCCUGUCGCUUAACGAUAGAACUGCCAUUGAUACUGUAAGUCUUGAGUAUAUUUGAGGUAGCUGGAAUAAGUAGUGUAGCGGUGAAAUGCAUAGAUAUUACUUAGAACACCAAUUGCGAAGGCAGGUUACCAAGAUAUAACUGACGCUGAGGGACGAAA